GACGAACCGUGCGAACGUUGUUCGGAAUCAUUGGGCUUAAAGGGCGCGUAGGCGGGCUUUCAAGUCCGGGGUGAAAUCCUCCAGCUUAACUGGAGAACUGCCUCGGAUACUGGAGGUCUCGAGGAAGGUAGGGGCAUCUGGAACUGUGGGUGGAACGGUGAAAUGUGCUGAUAUCCACAGGAACUCCGGUGGCGAAGGCGAGGUGCUGGACCUUUUCUGACGCUGAGGCGCGAAAGCCAGGGGAGCAAACGGG
rnacentral:rRNA from 1 species